rnacentral:rRNA from 1 species
UACGUAGGGGGCUAGCGUUGUCCGGAUUUAUUGGGCGUAAAGAGCGUGUAGGCGGCCAGGUAGGUCUGCUGUGAAUAACUCGAGGCUCAACCUCGAGACGUCGGCGGAAACCAUCUGGCUAGAGUCCGGAAGAGGAGAGUGGAAUUCCUGGUGUAGCGGUGAAAUGCGCAGAUAUCAGGAAGAACACCCGUGGCGAAGGCGGCUCUCUGGGACGGUACUGACGCUGAGACGCGAAAGCGUGGGGAGCGAACAGG